GUUUCUGCAGUGUAAUGGUUAUCAUGUUUGCCUAGCAUGCAAAAGAUCCCUGGUUUGAAACCAGGCAGAAACA